CUAUGCCAAGGUGCCCGGCUCUCUAUAUUUACUGACUUGCUUCCAAUUACGAGUUUAUCUAAUGAUAGAGAAUGUCUAAAAAAAACUAAAAAGACUGAAUGGCCAGAUCAUCAGCUACUUUUUGAAAUGGAUCCUGACUACCAGAAUAAAAUUGUGAAUCUCCUGACCAUCAUUGGUGAUUGCAUGGGCCUCGUCAAUGACUACAGCUCCACGUUCAUCAAGUACAACAUCAUGAUCGGGAAAGCCAAGAUCAUUAGUGUGAGACUGCCAUCCGUGGGAGAAUUAACUCCAAAAGAGUUUAAAAUUCUACUCAAUAAACUCCGAAACUAUCACGGGCAUAUGGUGGAUAUGGUCAUUGAAAAGCGCAUUGGUAUUUUCAAAGUUACAACUCUGGAAUAUCAGUCACAGUGUUUACCCUGUGUUGACAACUCCGUACAGGUGGUUCACACCCUGUUGGAAUCAGUCAUCGAAAGAAAAAAUGCAAAUCUACUGGCAGUCGUAGAAUCAUCUUUGUGACAGCUGGAAUGUAAUCCCAUUGAAAUAGAAGAAUUUGUGGAACAUUUUGGUUUUUUGGACACAAUUUCUUCAAAAAUAUCUCAGUUGCAAACUGAGCAUGUGGCAAUUUCUCAACUGUAUUCUGUUGUGCAGAAUAUCCAGAUCCAUAUUUCAGAACAGCUAAUUGCAAUGUAUCAAGUCCUCCUGGCCAAGUUCAGUCAACUGAAAACUUCAGUGAAGUUACAUGAAACAAACAAAGAUGCUACCAUGGUUAAAUUCAGAGACAAUUUGGAAGCAUAUGUCACUGGUCUACGGGUUGAUGUUAGUAAUUUAAAAACAAAAAUAAGAACCCCUGUUCUGUUGUGUGUUGGGACUCAAAUGGCAACUGCUAAGGAGAUGAUUCAGACCCUGUCUGAGGAGGCUGCAAGCUUAGCUCACAGAGUGAGAUCAUGUUCCGGCUAUCAGGACCGCUUCGACGACUGCCACUUCUCAAUGCAUUCUCUCACGAUGGAGGAAAUUACACAGAUUGUGUUCACAGAAAUCUCUGACAUCCAGAGUGACUUAAGUCUGAGGAAGUUGCUAUGGGAAACACGAGAGGAAUGGGGUACCCUCUUUCGGGGAUGGAAGAAUUGUUUUCUUCAUGCUAUUGAUGUAGAAUCAAUACAGAAAAAUGUCUUCAAGUGCAUGCACACAAUCCUUUCACUGGAAAAAGGUUUGCCUGCCAAUGAUGUGCUCACAAAUCUUAAGCAAUCAGUGACAGAGUUUAAGCACAAGUUGCCUGUCAUCGUAGCCCUGGGAAACCCUCAUCUCAAGCCCAGGCAUUGGGAGGCUCUCCAGGAAAUCACUGGGAAGUCCGUUACCCUUUCCAAAAGCCAUACAAUCGAGGACCUUCUAAACCACCAGGAUCUUGUGCAUGAAUGGACUAAUAACCUGACUGUGUUCUCUUAUGCCCUUGAGGAAUGGAUGACUUGUCAACGAAACUGGCUUCAUGUUGAGCCAGUCUUUAACUGUCUAGAAAUACAAAGGCAGCUCCCAGAAGAAACAAAAGUUUUCUCUCAGGUGAUUUCCACAUGGAAAGAAAUAACAUCCAAACUACAAAACAGACUGAAUGCUUUGCAAAUAAUCAUCUCCAAAAGAAUACCCGAAAUUCUGAAAAAUUGUAAUAAACAUCUUGAAUUUAUAAAGAAAAGGCUUGAGGACUACCUUGAAAUGAAAAGGAUGAUUUUCCCCAGGUUUUACUUCCUCAGCACCGAUGAGCUGCUUGCGAUCCUAGCCGGCAGCAGAAACCCUGAGUCUGUACAGCCUCAUCUAGUGAAGUGCUUUGAGAAUGUGAAGCAGCUGAUGAUAUGCAAGCAAGAGAUCGGCCCCUCUACCAUAAGGAUGCUCAUGUCUGCUGAAGGCGAAGGCCUCGUGCUGCACAAGAAAAUUCACGUAAGAAGUGCUGUAGAACAGUGGCUGGCAAAUGUAGAAAAAAGCAUGUUUGAGGCGUUAAAAAAAGUCAGAUCAUGUUUUGUUCCGACUGCAUUAAAAGUUUCAUGAGUUAUCAACCAAAAGAAGCAUUGGAAAAAGUCCGUGCCGGCGUGCUAGGUCGUGUAGAACAGCUUGCAGAACUGAUGCUGCGGGAUGCUUGUAACUCUCGAAGGAAAGCCGUGCUUGGGGCCUUGCUCAUCCUGUAUGUUCACUGCAGAGACUUGGUGAUAAAUUUACUGCUUAGAAAUGUCUUCAAGGCAGAGGACUUUGAGUGGUCAAGACAUUUACAGUACAAGUGGGAUGACAAGCAGAAGUUAUGCUACAUAUCUCAAGGACAUGCCACUUUGGCUUACGGCUAUGAGUACUUGGGCUGUACCUCCAGGCUGGUCAUUACGCCCCUCACAGACAGAUGCUGGUUAACCUUCCUGGGAGCACUCCACUUGAACCUAGGAGGUUGUGCUUCUGGUCCAACAGGUGUAGGAAAAACAGAGACUAUAAAAGACCUAGCCAAAGCUUUAGGCAAGCAUUGUGUGGUCUUCCACUGUUUCGAGAAUUUGGAUUAUAAGACUGUGGAAAAAUUCUUCUUUGGGCUGGUUCAGUCAGGAGCAUGGUGUUGUUUUGAUGCCUUCAAUCGAAUUGAUGUGGAAGUUCUUUCUGUUUUGGCCUCCCAGAUCCUAACCAUUAAGUGUGCAAAAGCCGGCUCUUCCGUCAGGUAUUUGCUGAAUACUGUCUACACUGUUUGAAGGGAAAUUCAUUCCAUGUUUGCUGAUUAGUUAUUUAUUGUCAGGUAUUCUCUAAAUGGGGUCUUCAGAGCUUUUUUAUUUGGGGUGU